rnacentral:lncRNA from 1 species
CGAAUCCGCUGCGCGUUGAGGUAAGCCCUGCUGCUGAAGGAGCCGUAGGCGCUCAGCGCGAUCCUCACGUCCCACCCGAUCUCAGACUUGUCACUUGCAGCAUGCAUGCAUGCAUAAAUCCAUUCAACUUAUUACAGCACUACUACUGUAGUAUACAAGGAGAAAGAAACUAGGAGCAGCUCAAAACCCCUGUGACUCACAGUUUGUCGAGGUAUUUGGUGGCGAGGGAAGCGGAGCACUCGGAGCCCAUGGUCACGUAGUGCGCCAGCCGCAUCUCCUCCACCUCAGGCACCGUCACAUCCACG